ACAGCAGCCGCCGCGGGAAUACGUAGGGUGCGAGCGUUAAUCGGAAUUACUGGGCGUAAAGCGUGCGCAGGCGGUUUUGUAAGACAGGCGUGAAAUCCCCGGGCUCAACCUGGGAAUGGCGCUUGUGACUGCAAAGCUAGAGUGCGGCAGAGGGGGAUGGAAUUCCGCGUGUAGCAGUGAAAUGCGUAGAUAUGCGGAGGAACACCGAUGGCGAAGGCAAUCCCCUGGGCCUGCACUGACGCUCAUGCACGAAAGCGUGGGGAGCAAACAGGAUUAGAUACCCCCGUAGUCCCUGUCUCUUAUAA
rnacentral:rRNA from 1 species